CAACUACUAAAAUUAACCA
rnacentral:tRNA from 1 species